GGGGGUGACUGGUUUCGACGGAUUUGAAGUCGGCCCUUGGAAGCAGGUCGCGCGGCUCAUCGGCGCGUUAACCCAGAUGGGAUGCAAAAUACUUGCAGAACCUCAAUUAGCACUGGCGGCUUAAUAAACGCUGCCGGUCCCCCGAGGGCGGGUCUCUUGGCUCUCGGUACGGACCUCAAAAACAAGAGUCUAGUUGAAGUUGUUGGGUUCGUUGCGACUUCGGCGAAAUCUUAAGCGAAUCCUUCUCGGCGUAGCCCGCUCGACGGUUGCAUCGGGGAGUAUCCAGUCGAGCUAAGCCUGU
rnacentral:tmRNA from 1 species